AAGGUAGCUUGCUACUGGACCUAGCGGCAGACGGGUGAGUAAUGCUUAGGAAUCUGCCUAUUAGUGGGGGACAACAUUCCGAAAGGAAUGCUAAUACCGCAUACGCCCUACGGGGGAAAGCAGGGGAUCUUCGGACCUUGCGCUAAUAGAUGAGCCUAAGUCGGAUUAGCUAGUUGGUGGGGUAAAGGCCUACCAAGGCGACGAUCUGUAGCGGGUCUGAGAGGAUGAUCCGCCACACUGGGACUGAGACACGGCCCAGACUCCUACGGGAGGCAGCAGUGGGGAAUAUUGGACAAUGGGCGGAAGCCUGAUCCAGCCAUGCCGCGUGUGUGAAGAAGGCCUUUUGGUUGUAAAGCACUUUAAGCGAGGAGGAGGCUCCUUUAGUUAAUACCUAAAGUGAGUGGACGUUACUCGCAGAAUAAGCACCGGCUAACUCUGUGCCAGCAGCCGCGGUAAUACAGAGGGUGCGAGCGUUAAUCGGAUUUACUGGGCGUAAAGCGUGCGUAGGCGGCUUUUUAAGUCGGAUGUGAAAUCCCUGAGCUUAACUUAGGAAUUGCAUUCGAUACUGGAAAGCUAGAGUAUGGGAGAGGAUGGUAGAAUUCCAGGUGUAGCGGUGAAAUGCGUAGAGAUCUGGAGGAAUACCGAUGGCGAAGGCAGCCAUCUGGCCUAAUACUGACGCUGAGGUACGAAAGCAUGGGGAGCAAACAGGAUUAGAUACCCUGGUAGUCCAUGCCGUAAACGAUGUCUACUAGCCGUUGGGGCCUUUGAGGCUUUAGUGGCGCAGCU
rnacentral:rRNA from 1 species